rnacentral:rRNA from 1 species
AUUGAACGCUGGCGGCAUGCCUUACACAUGCAAGUCGAACGGCAGCGGACCUUCGGGUGCCGGCGAGUGGCGAACGGGUGAGUAAUAUAUCGGAACGUACCUUUCAGUGGGGGAUAACGUAGCGAAAGUUACGCUAAUACCGCAUAUUCUGUGAGCAGGAAAGCAGGGGAUCGCAAGACCUUGCGCUGAUUGAGCGGCCGAUAUCAGAUUAGCUAGUUGGUGAGGUAAAGGCUCACCAAGGCGACGAUCUGUAGCGGGUCUGAGAGGAUGAUCCGCCACACUGGAACUGAGACACGGUCCAGACUCCUACGGGAGGCAGCAGUGGGGAAUUUUGGACAAUGGGCGCAAGCCUGAUCCAGCCAUGCCGCGUGAGUGAAGAAGGCCUCGGUUGU